AUGCACACGUAUGUUAAUUGCGGGCUGAUUUAUCAUUUUAACACGCAGCUCAUGGCUACCAUGGAAAGCAGGACUUUCAGGGCUGGGGUGGAGAUGGCAGGAGGCUGGAGAUGAGGUCAGGGCUGUGUCCAUCUGAGCAGAGCCUGGGGCGAAGGCAAGGUAAUUUGAGGCUACAAUGAGCUAUGAGCAACUGUGUUCCAGCCUGGGAGACAGAAUGUAAAAAAAAAAUAGUAAUAACAGAAAGUAUGCAUCAAUCUCAAUUUUUUAAAAAAAGGCAGAUGAUUUUACAGUUGUUUUAUCAAAGCUCAAAGAACAGGAAAGCCCAAAUUAUUUCAACAAAGUCAGACCUUUUAAACAGAUGAUAGCUGCCCAAGUCAUUUUUAU
rnacentral:lncRNA from 1 species